UACAGAGGUCCCAAGCGUUGUUCGGAUUUACUGGGCGUAAAGGGUGCGUAGGCGGCACGGAAAGUUCGGGGUGAAAUCUCUAGGCUCAACUUGGAAACUGCCUUGAAUACUUCCGUGCUCGAGGGCCGCAGAGGAGAUUGGAAUUCUCGGUGUAGCAGUGAAAUGCGUAGAUAUCGAGAGGAACAUCAGUGGCGAAAGCGAAUCUCUGGGCGGCAUCUGACGCUGAGGCACGAAAGCCAGGGGAGCAAACGGG
rnacentral:rRNA from 1 species